AUACCUUUCUCGGCCUUUUGGCUAAGAUCAAGUGUAGUAUCUGUUCUUAUCAGUUUAAUAUCUGAGUCAUCGACUCACACGAUAUUAAAUUAAUUUUUUUGGGUGAAGGUUCACCACAUUGGCUUACUAUUGGAACCUUCGAAUUAAUUGUGUUGUACUAUCACUUUAACUGGCAUAAUCCUA
rnacentral:snRNA from 1 species